AGCGAACGCUGGCGGCAGGCCUAACACAUGCAAGUCGAGCGCCGUAGCAAUACGGAGCGGCAGACGGGAGAGUAACACGUGGGAACGUGCCCUUCAGUUCGGAACAACCCAGGGAAACUUGGGCUAAUACCGGAUACGUCCGUAAGGAGAAAGAUUUAUCGCUGAAGGAUCGGCCCGCGUCUGAUUAGCUAGUUGGUGGGGUAAUGGCCCACCAAGGCGACGAUCAGUAGCUGGUCUGAGAGGAUGAUCAGCCUCACUGGGACUGAGACACGGCCCAGACUCCUACGGGAGGCAGCAGUGGGGAAUAUUGGACAAUGGGCGCAAGCCUGAUCCAGCCAUGCCGCGUGGGUGAUGAAGGCCCUAGGGUUGUAAAGCCCUUUCGGCGGGGAAGAUAAUGACGGUACCCGCAGAAGAAGCCCCGGCUAACUUCGUGCCAGCAGCCGCCGUAACAC
rnacentral:rRNA from 1 species